UACGAAGGGGGCGAGCGUUGUUCGGAUUUACUGGGCGUAAAGGGCGCGCAGGCGGCGCAUUUUUUCAGGCGUGAAAGCCCCGGGCUUAACCUGGGAACUGCGUUUGAUACGGAUGGGCUAGAGUUCGGGAGAGGAGAGUGGAAUUCCCAGUGUAGAGGUGAAAUUCGUAGAUAUUGGGAAGAACACCGGUGGCGAAGGCGGCUCACUGGCCCGGUACUGACGCUGAGGCACGAAAGCGUGGGGAGCAAACAGG
rnacentral:rRNA from 1 species